rnacentral:lncRNA from 1 species
CCCGAGCCUCCCGGGCGUGCUGCUUCCUUGAACUCGAAGGGACGAGGAGUCGCACCUGGGCCCACCGUGCCGGGUCCAGGCAGCAGCGCCCCCGACGUGGCGCCGGAGGCCUCCAGCGGCCGUGGUGGGUGCUCGGCGGUGUGGACAGGGUGCCCUCAGCCGGCGCCCUUGUUGCUGUGAACACGCACUCAACGUGGCUGCUCCAAGAGCACCUCCAGGAAGCUGGACGCCUGUCGUGGCCUUCGGAAGACGCUCCAGCACCAUGUAACCAUGUGGCCAGUCUUUGCCACGUGUCUGGCUGGCAGGGCAGCCCAGGAGGCCUCGUCCCUCCGCCCCGACGCCUUGGUCCUCAGCUGGCGCCCGGAGCUCGGAUGACUGUGCCACCC